GGUAAAUCGUUGAAAAAGAAAAGUACUAUAAAAUAGAUCUUUCAGAGAAAGUAUGGCUGGUGAAAAUACUUAUCAUUUUAUAGGAAAGCUACUUUGGAGAGUAAUUAAAGAUUACCGUGUAGGCUACGUUACCAGUCAAGUAAGGGCAUGAGUUUUCAUGAACUAGGAUGGUACCGCGAUUAAAGUCGUUCCUAGC
rnacentral:ncRNA from 1 species